rnacentral:rRNA from 1 species
GCUACGGGAGGCAGCAGUGAGGAAUAUUGGUCAAUGGACGCAAGUCUGAACCAGCCAUGCCGCGUGCAGGAAGACGGCUCUAUGAGUUGUAAACUGCUUUUGUACGAGGGUAAACGCAGAUACGCGUAUCUGUCUGAAAGUAGCGUACGAAUAAGGAUCGGCUAACUCCGUGCCAGCAGCCGAGGUAAUACGGAGGAUUCAAGCGUUCUCCGGAUUUAUUGGGGUUAAAGGGGUCGUAGGCGGUCGGAUAAGUUCGAGGUGAAAUCCCGAGGCUCAACUUCGGAAUUGCCUUUUAUACUGUUCGGCUAGCGAGUAGUUUCGGUAGGCGUAUUGUAUGGUGUAGCGGUGAAAUGCUU